AACGAACGCUGGCGGCAGGCCUAACACAUGCAAGUCGAACGAAGUCUUCGGACUUAGUGGCGGACGGGUGAGUAACACGUGGGAACGUGCCUUUAGGUUCGGAAUAACCCAGGGAAACUUGUGCUAAUACCGAAUGUGCCCUUCGGGGGAAAGAUUUAUCGCCUAUAGAGCGGCCCGCGUCUGAUUAGCUAGUUGGUGAGGUAAAGGCUCACCAAGGCUACGAUCAGUAGCUGGUCUGAGAGGAUGACCAGCCACAUUGGGACUGAGGCACGGCCCAAACUCCUACGGGAGGCAGCAGUGGGGAAUCUUGCGCAAUGGGCGAAAGCCUGACGCAGCCAUGCCGCGUGGAUGAUGAAGGUCUUAGGAUUGUAAAAUCCUUUCACCGGUGAAGAUAAUGACUGUAGCCGGAGAAGAAGCCCCGGCUAACUUCGUGCCAGCAGCCGCGGUAAUAC
rnacentral:rRNA from 1 species